UACGGAGAGUGCAAGCAUUAAUCGGAAUUAUUGGGCGUAAAGGGCGCGUAGGCGGGAGAAUAAGUCAGAUGUGAAAUUCCAAAGCUCAACUUUGGAGCUGCAUUUGAAACUAUAAUUCUAGAGGAUUGACGGGGAAAACGGAAUUCCACGUGUAGCGGUGAAAUGCGUAGAUAUGUGGAAGAACACCUGUGGCGAAAGCGGUUUUCUAGUUAAUACCUGACGCUGAGGCGCGAGAGCAAGGGGAGCAAACAGG
rnacentral:rRNA from 1 species